UCGAGGAUCUUCGGCAAUGGGCGAAAGCCUGACCGAGCGACGCCGCGUGUGCGAUGAAGGCCUUCGGGUUGUAAAGCACUGUCGUGGGGGAGAAAGACCGCAAGGUUUGAUCGACCUCAGGAGGAAGCUCGGGCUAAGUUCGUGCCAGCAGCCGCGGUAAGACGAACCGAGCGAACGUUAUUCGGAAUCACUGGGCUUAAAGGGCGCGUAGGCGGGCGAUCAAGUCAGGGGUGAAAGCCCCCAGCUCAACUGGGGAAGUGCCUUUGAUACUGGUCGUCUCGAGCGAGGUAGGGGCGUGCGGAACUUCCGGUGGAGCGGUGAAAUGCGUAGAUAUCGGAAGGAACACCGGUGGCGAAAGCGGCGCGCUGGACCUCUUCUGACGCUGAGGCGCGAAAGCCAGGGGAGCGAACG
rnacentral:rRNA from 1 species